rnacentral:rRNA from 1 species
GGGCUGAAGUAGGUCCCAAGGGUAUGGCUGUUCGCCAUUUAAAGUGGUACGCGAGCUGGGUUUAGAACGUCGUGAGACAGUUCGGUCCCUAUCUGCCGUGGGCGCUGGAGAAUUGAGGGGGGCUGCUCCUAGUACGAGAGGACCGGAGUGGACGCAUCACUGGUGUUCGGGUUGUCAUGCCAAUGGCACUGCCCGGUAGCUAAAUGCGGAAGAGAUAAGUGCUGAAAGCAUCUAAGCACGAAACUUGCCCCGAGAUGAGUUCUCCCUGACUCCUUGAGAGUCCUGAAGGAACGUUGAAGACGACGACGUUGAUAGGCCGGGUGUGUAAGCGCAGCGAUGCGUUGAGCUAACCGGUACUAAUGAACCGUGAGGCUUAACCUUACAACGCCGAAGGUGUUU